rnacentral:misc_RNA from 1 species
GAUGAAGAACGUAGCGAAAUGCGAUACGUAAUGUGAAUUGCAGAAUUCAGUGAAUCAUCGAGUCUUUGAACGCACAUUGCGCCCCCUGGUAUUCCGGGGGGCAUGCCUGUCCGAGCGUCAUUGCUGCCCUCAAGCACGGCUUGUGUGUUGGGCCUCCAUCCUCCUCCCGGGGGACGGGCCCGAAAGGCAGCGGCGGCACCGCGUCCGGUCCUCGAGCGUAUGGGGCUUCGUCACCCGCUCUUGUAGGCCCGGCCGGCGCUUGCCGACACAUCAAUCUUUUUUCCAGGUUGACCUCGGAUCAGGUAGGGAUACCCGCUGAACUUAAGCAUAUCAAUAAGCGGAGGA